UACAUGUAUACAAUGUAUCUCAGCCAUCCC
rnacentral:piRNA from 1 species